rnacentral:rRNA from 1 species
AAGUCGAGCGGCAGCACGGGGGCAACCCUGGUGGCGAGCGGCGAACGGGUGAGUAAUGCAUCGGAACGUACCCUGUCGUGGGGGAUAACUAUCCGAAAGGAUGGCUAAUACCGCAUACGACCUGAGGGUGAAAGCGGGGGAUCGCAAGACCUCGCGCGAUAGGAGCGGCCGAUGCCGAAUUAGCUAGUUGGUGAGGUAAAGGCUCACCAAGGCGACGAUCCGUAGCUGGUCUGAGAGGACGACCAGCCACACUGGGACUGAGACACGGCCCAGACUCCUACGGGAGGCAGCAGUGGGGAAUUUUGGACAAUGGGGGCAACCCUGAUCCAGCCAUUCCGCGUGAGUGAAGAAGGCCUUCGGGUUGUAAAGCUCUUUCGGCAGGAACGAAACGGUGAGGGCUAAUACCCUUUACUAAUGACGGUACCUGAAGAAGAAGCACCGGCUAACUACGUGCCAGCAGCCGCGGUAAUACGUAGGGUGCGAGCGUUAAUCGGAAUUACUGGGCGUAAAGCGUGCGCAGGCGGUUUUGUAAGACAGAUGUGAAAUCCCCGGGCUUAACCUGGGAACUGCGUUUGUGACUGCAAGACUUGGGUGCGGCAGAGGGGGGUGGAAUUCCACGUGUAGCAGUGAAAUGCGUAGAGAUGUGGAGGAACACCGAUGGCGAAGGCAGCCCCCUGGGUCGACACUGACGCUCAUGCACGAAAGCGUGGGUAGCAAACAGGAUUAGAUACCCUGGUAGUC